rnacentral:rRNA from 1 species
AACGAACGCUGGCGGCAGGCCUAACACAUGCAAGUCGAGCGCCCACUUCGGUGGGAGCGGCGGACGGGUAAGUAACGCGUGGGAAUCUACCUAGUAGUGGAGGAUAACUCGAGGAAACUCGAGCUAAUACUGCAUACGCCCUACGGGGGAAAGCGGGGGAUCUUCGGACCUCGUGCUAUUGGAUGAGCCCGCGUUAGAUUAGCUUGUUGGUGAGGUAACGGCUCACCAAGGCGACGAUCUAUAGCUGGUCUGAGAGGAUGAUCAGCCACAUUGGGACUGAGACACAGCCCAA